rnacentral:lncRNA from 1 species
UCAGUGGAGCCAUCGCUGACGUUCUUGCCUUUUCUUUCUUGCAGGACGUUGACAAAGGAACGCACGCCGACACUCCCACAUGAACAGCUGGCUGCUUCCCAGCGUCCUACGGGAGAGCUACCGGCUUCUAGGCAACGCUGCGUGUGAUCUGUGGGGGAGCCUGGCCACUCCUGGAGGUUCCAAGGUCAAAGAAACGCAUUCCGGAUGCGACGGAUUUGAUCUUGGAAAGCUGCUUUGAAGAUACGAUAGCUAUUCCCUAUUGUUCACUUUAAGGCAAACAAUGUAUACAUUUUUCUGUGUCAGGCUCCUCUGUGAAGUUAGUGAAACGGUAGCUUAGUUUGCUCCCAUCUCCUGUUCCGCCCUGCUGGUUUUCGAUUGUGCGUCACUGAAUUGCCAUCAGAAAUCCAGUCCCGACUGCGUGUGCGAGGCCAGGGAGGGAGGUGAGAGGCGGCCUCUCGGACACACUCUGCCAUGGGCCGGAAGCAGGAGGCACCCUCUUUGUGAUGAUCUCUGAGAGCUAAGGAGAGACUCCAGCACCACCCUUUCUCCUGGUGCCCUGUCCAUAACUAAGUGUCCAGAAGUCUCCUCCACAGGCAUUUUCUCUGCUCAUUCUCCUAGUAAUCCUGUGAAGGAGACGUGUUCUCCAUUCUAUAGGAGAGGACUCUGAGGUUCAGAAAACUCAAGUCAGAGAAAGCAUGAGGUUGGACUUCGCUUCUUGGCCCGGGUCGGACUGUAGGCUGCUGCUGGAGCUGUGCGGCUUUGGCAAUAUUCCGCCAGCUUCAUUUCAUGCAGUGAGUGGAACAAGAGUCAGAACACCAGGGCGGCUGAGCCUAUCGAUCAAGCCUCCACCUAAUGACAGACAUACUUGAGUCCCACAGUCAUAAGGAGGAUGAAGUCUCUCUCUGGCUGGACCUGGACUGCAGUCACACUCUAAGAGCUCCUCUUUCUACACCUCUGCCAGUGGGCGUUCGGUCAGAGACAAGCUAUGGCACCGGCUCCCGGACGCACGGGAGGACUCCUACCAGGGACAGAGUCCGCACAGGUGACCUGAGUGGCUGUGCACAGCCUUUGCUUCUGAGACGUGCCGGGAGCAGGUAUCUCCGCAGGCCCAGGCGCCUCUGGCAGCCUUCAGAGCAGGGCCCUCUUCAACAAGGUACCAGAGCAAUGAGGAAGCAGGACCCAGACCCCUGACUCCUAACUCCAGGUGAAGUCCACCCUGAGCUCAGGAGCAGAGCUGCCUCCAUCGGGUGUGGAGAGACAGAGCCUCCUCCCCAGCCAUGCCUCCUCAUCGGCCCACGGGAGCUGCUGUGACUCUGACCCCUGUACCUGGCUCUGUCGACCGGAAUAGUCAGUGGGCAGCCAGCACACCUUUGGGUGCUCUGUAUGAGUGGGAUUUUCUCCUGAUUAGACAUUUUAAAAGAUUGUCAACAAAAAGAACAAA